UACGUAGGGUGCAAGCGUUAAUCGGAAUUACUGGGCGUAAAGCGUGCGCAGGCGGUUUUGUAAGUCUGAUAUGAAAUCCCCGGGCUCAACCUGGGAAUUGCAUUGGAGACUGCAAGGCUAGAAUCUGGCAGAGGGGGGUAGAAUUCCACGUGUAGCAGUGAAAUGCGUAGAGAUGUGGAGGAACACCGAUGGCGAAGGCAGCCCCCUGGGUCAAGAUUGACGCUCAUGCACGAAAGCGUGGGGAGCAAACAGG
rnacentral:rRNA from 1 species